rnacentral:rRNA from 1 species
CGUUCGAUCUCAAAUCAGGAGGACUACCCGCUGAACUUAGCAUAUCAGAAGUUCUUCACGGAAACUUCUUG